AUUGAACGCUGGCGGCAGGCCUAACACAUGCAAGUCGAACGGUAGCACAGAGGAGCUUGCUCCUUGGGUGACGAGUGGCGGACGGGUGAGUAAUGUCUGGGAAACUGCCCGAUGGAGGGGGAUAACUACUGGAAACGGUAGCUAAUACCGCAUAACGUCGCAAGACCAAAGAGGGGGACCUUCGGGCCUCUUGCCAUCGGAUGUGCCCAGAUGGGAUUAGCUAGUAGGUGGGGUAACGGCUCACCUAGGCGACGAUCCCUAGCUGGUCUGAGAGGAUGACCAGCCACACUGGAGCUGAGACACGGUCCAGACUCCUACGGGAGGCAGCAGUGGGGAAUAUUGCACAAUGGGCGCAAGCCUGAUGCAGCCAUGCCGCGUGUAUGAAGAAGGCCUUCGGGUUGUAAAGUACUUUCAGCGAGGAGGAAGGCGUUGUGGUUAAUAACCGCAACGAUUGACGUUACUCGCAGAAGAAGCACCGGCUAACUCCGUGCCAGCCGCCGCGGUAAAAGGG
rnacentral:rRNA from 1 species